GUGACACCACUUUGUCAGCACCAACUCUCAAUGCUGAUAUGACUACCUCACCACCACCUGAAAAUGGUAAGAUCCAAUAGACAGAAUUACAAAGGUCAAACUGCCAUGUUUGUGCAAUUAAACAGUUUGUGAUUUUCUGUUCCCAUAGGUUCAUUGUUCGUCGGAGUCAUUGUCAUUUUAGUUAUUGGUACAUUUCAUUGAAAAGUGGGGGGGGGGGACAAGCCUUUUGCUCCCUUGUUUCUUGCCAAUGGAAUGCUCUCCCUUACCCUCUGAGUGCUGCUCCACCAAUCCAAGCUUUUAAAAUGGGCCUUUAAAACCCACUUCUACAGACUUUUUCUCAUAGGUCUAAUCCCAAUCUGAAAACUGUUUUUUUUUUUGUGCAUCUAGCCCAUUUGCAUUUUUCUUUGCUUAAGUAGAGCCUUGAGAAGGACUCUAAGGAAAAGCACUAUGCACAUUAAAUGCAUUAUUAUUAAUAUUAGAUGGCUCUGCUACUGCUUUUCCUGUCGCCGCUGGCAUGGCUGUAGUUAAUCCUUUACUUGUAUUGCUAAAGUACUUCUACAGAAUAUGUCUUAUAAACAUGAAUUUGUAUAUUUUGUGAAGCGGGUCUUGCAGGCAUAACUAAUAUCAAUGAUUGCUUGAGGGCUAAGCUUUGAUGCUGCUGUAUCUGCUGCUGCUCUUGCCAUGGUCUCCUGUAUUCUUCUUCUGUUUAUUUCCUGGGCUUGAUUGCCUGACACUGCAGGGAUUAUCCUGUUACGAGGUGAGAUAUUAGUUUCUUUAGAAUAUCUUCCACAUUAUAUUCACCUGAUACUUAAUCAGUUCCAUGUUGAAAUUAUUGCUUCAUCUAUAGUUCCAGGUGCAGUUUAGCACCAUUAGAGCUUGCAUUACUCCUCUCAAAUGCUAGGAUCACAGUAUUAAGUCUUUGAAAGUAAUGUUUUUGAUUAAUUGGCACUUUUCUCUGUCAGGCUUUAUUGGUGUCGUUGUUGCAGUCUAUUUGAUCAGACAAAAGCAGCAGGGUGCCAGUAGAAACCAAGAUGAAGAGACUGAGAUGAGUGCUCUGAACAACGGUAUCAAUCAGAAUGGAGGUCCUGCCAAUAGGUAUAGUAGAGAACAAUAUUUGACUACCUGGGGUGCGUUCAGUAUGACCGAACGGUGUGCAAGGCUGAAUUCAAUGGAAACUAUACUGUACUUAAUGACCAAUUGGAAAAACGUAGUGAUUAUGAUGACCCAGAGGGCUAUUACCGUAUGGUGUGCUGCGCGAGUUUUGAUAUUUCAAAUGGUCACACCCAUAUUGGUCAGGCCACAUACACCACACCCACCCAACGGGAGCAAAGGUUCACCAAAGGUUGUUGAAGAUUGCACAUCGUUUUGGAGAAACGUGCUGUUCAGUACGCACCAUCACUCAACAUAGCAAAAGUUGAAGCGAACUGAACACACCCCAGGUAAUAGAUAUGAUAUGGUAUUUUGCUACUCAACAUUGAUUUGCCAUGUCAAUGACAUGUAUCUUGUUCCUUUAGAGACCAUAAUGAAGAGGUGGCUGUGAACAUGUUUGACAAUGGGGGAGCCAUCGGCAGUAAUGAGGGCCCGUGGAGCUGUCUCCGGCAGCAUGGUUAGCAAAGAGACUAUGGUACUAAUUGACCUGGCUCGUCUAUGAAGUGCCACAUUUUGAACAUGAACAUAAAAAACACAUCUUACAUUUUCAUUUCAACAGAGUGCGUGUUUGUGUAACUUGUGUUUUCAACAUAUUUCAGUGUGGAACAUAGAUGGCAUAAGACCCUGAUUUUAUUGAUCAGUGAAAAUGGAAUGCAAAUUAUUAAGGGAACUGCUUUGGGGCUUCACAUUUUUUGCUUUUUUUCCCAUCCUAUGGCUUACCUGUCCAUAUUUGUUCAAAUAAAUGAAAGAAUUAUGAACAAUUAGGUUGUCAUUCAAUCAACUCUAUGUUAAUUGCAGCAAUUAUAUAUGAGUUAUUCUACUUUUAAUUGUAGCCCUUGAGAUUUUGAGUGAACUCUGAUUUGGUUUUCACAUGCAUUUCUUUAUCCUUACUAGCAGAUUUUGAAAGUUUUAUGUUGAUACUUCACUUGAAUAGCUGUAGACACAUGACCUUAUACAUUUUUUAUCAUUAUGUAAUCUUUUGGGUAAGUUUGAGGAAAUCUCCUUGUAACCUGUCAAUAAUAAAACCUCAUAACACACUGUGUUUAACAUUCAUAAAACCCUACCAGCUGUUCUUCGUUGACUGUGCUUUAGGAGGAGAAACUUUAAUGCACUAUUCACAUUGGCGUUUGAAGUGGAAUGACACCCUGGUGCAGCGUUCAAGAGCGUGUCCCAACAGCAGUACAGGGGGAAGGUCUUGUCGGUGAGGUGUGGGGAUAGGUUCUCUGACCUUGGUACAACACCAAUCAACAGGUUAUUGGGGGGGGACUGGGUCAGAUGUUGACCGAAUGCUUGUGCA
ensembl:lncRNA